GACGAACGCUGGCGGCGUGCUUAACACAUGCAAGUCGAACGGAAAGGCCCUGCUUUUGUGGGGUGCUCGAGUGGCGAACGGGUGAGUAACACGUGAGUAACCUGCCCUUGACUUUGGGAUAACUUCAGGAAACUGGGGCUAAUACCGGAUAGGAGCUCCUGCUGCAUGGUGGGGGUUGGAAAGUUUCGGCGGUUGGGGAUGGACUCGCGGCUUAUCAGCUUGUUGGUGGGGUAGUGGCUUACCAAGGCUUUGACGGGUAGCCGGCCUGAGAGGGUGACCGGCGACAUUGGGACUGCGAUACGGCCCAGACUCCUACGGGAGGCAGCAGUGGGGAAUAUUGCACAAUGGGCGGAAGCCUGAUGCAGCAACGCCGCGUGCGGGAUGACGGCCUUCGGGUUGUAAACCGCUUUCGCCUGUGACGAAGCGUGAGUGACGGUAAUGGGUAAAGAAGCACCGGCUAACUACGUC
rnacentral:rRNA from 1 species